CGGCCGCGUCGACGAGAGAUCAUUCUUUCCUUCGGGACUCCUGUGAAGGUGCUGCAUGGUUGUCGUCAGCUCGUGCCGUGAGGUGUCGGCUUAAGUGCCAUAACGAGCGCAACCCUUUUCCUCAGUUACCAGCGGGUUAAGCCGGGAACUCUAAGGAUACUGCCAGUGACAAACUGGAGGAAGGCGGGGACGACGUCAAGUCAUCAUGGCCCUUACGACCAGGGCUACACACGUGCUACAAUGGUAGGUACAGAGGGCAGCUACACAGCGAUGUGAUGCGAAUCUCAAAAAGCCUAUCGUAGUCCAGAUUGGAGUCUGCAACUCGACUCCAUGAAGUAGGAAUCGCUAGUAAUCGCGGAUCAGAAUGCCGCGGUGAAUACGUUCCCGGGCCUUGUACACACCGC
rnacentral:rRNA from 1 species